CAUACUGCAUCAAACUAGUGGUACAAGAAGUCCUGACGUCGACACCCACUGUGACUGUCAUCAACAUCACCCAAACCACAAACAGCUCCUGUGUAGUUCUGACACAGUGCAGCUCAGAAUUUCACAAAGACGUGAGCUACAGGUGGACAGUGAACAACAGGAACUACAAUGGACCCAUGCUGGAGUACCCUCUUCCAUCACAAGAUGGCACCAUUACCGUUAUAUGUACUGUUUCUAAUAUGGUCAGUGAGGUGUCAGAGAGCAAGAGCAUCAACUGCCAAUCAACCAAAGGCAAUGAUACAGUCAAUUCUAAUGGGCCUAUUAUUAUUGCUGGCCUGGUGUGUGCUGUCAUUCUUCUCACCCUGAUAGUCGUCUGUUGGUACAAAAAAA